rnacentral:rRNA from 1 species
ACUCCUACGGGAGGCAGCAGUGGGGAAUAUUGCACAAUGGGGGAAACCCUGAUGCAGCCAUGCCGCGUGUGUGAAGAAGGCCUUGGGUUGUAAAGCACUUUCAGUAGGGAGGAAGGUAGUGUAGUUAACACCUGCAUUAUUUGACGUUACCUACAGAAGAAGCACCGGCUAACUCCGUGCCAGCAGCCGCGGUAAUACGGAGGGUGCGAGCGUUAAUCGGAAUUACGUGGCGUAAAGCGCAUGCAGGCGGCUUGUUAAGUCAGAUGUGAAAGCCCGGGGUCUUAACCUCGGAAUUGCAUUUGAAACUGGCAGGCUAGAGUCUUGUAGAGGGGUUAGAAUUUCGAGGUGUAGCGGUGAAAUGCGUAGAGAUCUGAAGGAUACCAGUGGCGAAGGCGGCCCCUAGGACAAAGACUGACGCUCAGAUGCGAAAGCGUGGGAGCAAACGAGGAUUACGAUA